rnacentral:rRNA from 1 species
GGCGGCGUGCUUAACACAUGCAAGUCGAACGAUGAUGCCCAGCUUGCUGGGUGGAUUAGUGGCGAACGGGUGAGUAACACGUGAGUAACCUGCCCCUGACUCUGGGAUAAGCGUUGGAAACGACGUCUAAUACUGGAUAUGAUCACUGGCCGCAUGGUCUGGUGGUGGAAAGAUUUUUUGGUUGGGGAUGGACUCGCGGCCUAUCAGCUUGUUGGUGAGGUAAUGGCUCACCAAGGCGACGACGGGUAGCCGGCCUGAGAGGGUGACCGGCCACACUGGGACUGAGACACGGCCCAGACUCCUACGGGAGGCAGCAGUGGGGAAUAUUGCACAAUGGGCGAAAGCCUGAUGCAGCAACGCCGCGUGAGGGAUGACGGCCUUCGGGUUGUAAACCUCUUUUAGUAGGGAAGAAGCGAAAGUGACGGUACCUGCAGAAAAAGCACCGGCUAACUACGUGCCAGCAGCCGCGGUAAUACGUAGGGUGCAAGCGUUGUCCGGAAUUAUUGGGCGUAAAGAGCUCGUAGGCGGUUUGUCGCGUCUGCUGUGAAAUCCCGAGGCUCAACCUCGGGCUUGCAGUGGGUACGGGCAGACUAGAGUGCGGUAGGGGAGAUUGGAAUUCCUGGUGUAGCGGUGGAAUGCGCAGAUAUCAGGAGGAACACCGAUGGCGAAGGCAGAUCUCUGGGCCGUAACUGACGCUGAGGAGCGAAAGCGUGGGGAGCGAACAGGAUUAGAUACCCUGGUAGUCCACGCCGUAAACGUUGGGCGCUAGAUGUAGGGACCUUUCCACGGUUUCUGUGUCGUAGCUAACGCAUUAAGCGCCCC